rnacentral:rRNA from 1 species
UACGUAGGGGGCGAGCGUUGUCCGGAUUUAUUGGGCGUAAAGAGCUCGUAGGCGGCUUGGCAAGUCGGGUGUGAAAACUCCAGGCUCAACCUGGAGAUGCCACUCGAGACUGCUAUGGCUAGAGUUCGGUAGGGGAGACUGGAAUUCCUGGUGUAGCGGUGAAAUGCGCAGAUAUCAGGAGGAACACCGGUGGCGAAGGCGGGUCUCUGGGCCGAAACUGACGCUGGAGGAAGCGAAAGCGUGGGGAGCAAACAGG